GAGUGAUGAAGGCCUUCGGGUCGUAAAACUCUGUCCUCAAGGAAGAUAAUGACGGUACUUGAGGAGGAAGCCCCGGCUAACUACGUGCCAGCAGCCGCGGUAAUACGUAGGGGGCUAGCGUUAUCCGGAUUUACUGGGCGUAAAGGGUGCGUAGGCGGUCUUUCAAGUCAGGAGUGAAAGGCUACGGCUCAACCGUAGUAAGCUCUUGAAACUGGGAGACUUGAGUGCAGGAGAGGAGAGUGGAAUUCCUAGUGUAGCGGUGAAAUGCGUAGAUAUUAGGAGGAACACCAGUUGCGAAGGCGGCUCUCUGGACUGUAACUGACGCUGAGGCACGAAAGCGUGGGGAGCAAACAGGAUUAGAUACCCUGGUAGUCCACGCUGUAAACGAUGAGUACUAGGUGUCGGGGGUUACCCCC
rnacentral:rRNA from 1 species